rnacentral:rRNA from 1 species
AGAGUUUGAUCCUGGCUCAGGACGAACGCUGGCGGCGUGCUUAACACAUGCAAGUCGAACGAUGAUGCCCAGCUUGCUGGGCGGAUUAGUGGCGAACGGGUGAGUAAUACGUGAGUAACCUGCCCUUGACUCUGGGAUAAGCCUGGGAAACUGGGUCUAAUACUGGAUACUACCGUCCACCGCAUGGUGGGUGGUGGAAAGGGUUUUACUGGUUUUGGAUGGGCUCACGGCCUAUCAGCUUGUUGGUGGGGUAAUGGCUCACCAAGGCGACGACGGGUAGCCGGCCUGAGAGGGUGACCGGCCACACUGGGACUGAGACACGGCCCAGACUCCUACGGGAGGCAGCAGUGGGGAAUAUUGCACAAUGGGCGGAAGCCUGAUGCAGCGACGCCGCGUGAGGGAUGACGGCCUUCGGGUUGUAAACCUCUUUCAGUAGGGAAGAAGCGAGAGUGACGGUACCUGCAGAAGAAGCGCCGGCUAACUACGUG